CCUACGGGUGGCAGCAGUGGGGAAUAUUGCACAAUGGGGGAAACCCUGAUGCAGCGACGCCGCGUGAGUGAUGAAGUAUUUCGGUGUGUAAAGCUCUAUCAGCAUGGGAGUGAAUUACGGUACCUGAGUAAGAAUCUCCGGCUAACUACGUUCCAGCAGCCGCGGUAAUACGGAGGGGGCAGGCGUUAUCCGGAUUUACUGGGUGUAAAGGGAGCGUAGACGGCGAAGAAAGUCUGAAGUGAAAGACCGCGGCUCAACCGCGGAACUGCAUUGGAAACUUUUUGGCUGGAGUACCGGAGAGGUGAGCGGAAUUCGUGGUGUAGCGGUGAAAUGCGUAGAUAUUAGGAAGAACACCAGUGGCGAAGGCGGUUCACUGGACGGUAACUGACGUUGAGGCUCGAAAGCGUGGGGAGCAAACAGGAUUAGAUACCCUUGUAGUC
rnacentral:rRNA from 1 species